rnacentral:rRNA from 1 species
UACGUAGGGGGCAAGCGUUGUCCGGAAUUAUUGGGCGUAAAGAGCGUGUAGGCGGUCCGGUAAGUCGGCUGUGAAAGUCCAGGGCUCAACCCUGGGAUGCCGGUCGAUACUGCCGGACUAGAGUUCGGAAGAGGCGAGUGGAAUUCCCGGUGUAGCGGUGAAAUGCGCAGAUAUCAGGAGGAACACCGGUGGCGAAGGCGGGGUCUCCUGGGCCGAAUACUGACGCUGGAGGAGCGAAAGCGUGGGGAGCAAACAGG